rnacentral:misc_RNA from 1 species
AAGUCGUAACAAGGUAACCGUAGGUGAACCUGCGGUUGGAUCAUUAGUAAUUACACUUGUUGUAAUGAUAAUGCAAAUUUUUAGUUGGAGUAGUGCGAUGAGUGGUAGUAACUGUGGUUAAUUUCACAGUAACAAUGACCAUGAGUGCUAUAAAGACAAGCGUUCGUCUCUUUGGUUGAGGUUUACUAUUUGAAGUCCCUUUGCAGUCCCACCUUUGAUGUCUCUAUACGCAGUCGCAGUAAACCUUGGCCUUUUAGGCAAACGAAAAGUACCAUUUUUAUAAACUUGACUGAUUUUAAAAGAGUAUAACUUUAGACAACGGAUCUCUAGGCUCUC